rfam:TPA: Bos taurus chromosome 24, whole genome shotgun sequence.
UCCCUUGUGGCUCAGAGGGUAAAGCGUCUGCCUGCAAUGCGGGAGACCUGGGUUCGAUCCCUGGGUGGAGAA